rnacentral:rRNA from 1 species
UGGGGAAUCUUAGACAAUGGGGGCAACCCUGAUCUAGCCAUGCCACGUGAGUGAUGAAGGCCUUAGGGUUGUAAAGCUCUUUCAGCUGGGAAGAUAAUGACGGUACCAGCAGAAGAAGCCCCGGCUAACUCCGUGCCAGCAGCCGCGGUAAUACGGAGGGGGCUAGCGUUGUUCGGAAUUACUGGGCGUAAAGCGCACGUAGGCGGACUGGAAAGUCAGAGGUGAAAUCCCAGGGCUCAACCUUGGAACUGCCUUUGAAACUAUCAGUCUGGAGUUCGAGAGAGGUGAGUGGAAUUCCGAGUGUAGAGGUGAAAUUCGUAGAUAUUCGGAGGAACACCAGUGGCGAAGGCGGCUCACUGGCUCGAUACUGACGCUGAGGUGCGAAAGCGUGGGGAGCAAAACAGGAUUAGGUACCCUGGUAGUCCACGCCGUAAACGAUGAAUGCCAGACGUCGGCAAGCAUGCUUGUCGGUGUCACACCUAACGGAUUAAGCAUUCCGCCUGGGGAGUACGGUCGCAAGAUUAAAAACUUAAAGGAAUUGACGGGG